rnacentral:misc_RNA from 1 species
UGGAAGUAAAAAAUCGUAACAAGGUUUCCGUAGGUGAACCUGCGGAAGGAUCAUUACCUUUCAAUGCAGAAGAGUUGAGAUGGUUGAGUAUCUCGCCUCUCAAUUCUCGCUGUAUUUUACCCUUGUUUUUCUCAUACUAUUAUUUCCUCGGCAGGCUCGCCUGCCGGGUGAAACAACUUCAAACCUGUUUAAUUUUCAAUCAGCGUCUGAACAAAUUAAUAAUUACAACUUUCAACAACGGAUCUCUUGGUUCUGGCAUCGAUGAAGAACGCAGCGAAAUGCGAUAAGUAGUGUGAAUUGCAGAAUUCAGUGAAUCAUCGAAUCUUUGAACGCACAUUGCGCCCCUUGGUAUUCCAUGGGGCAUGCCUGUUCGAGCGUCAUUUGUACCUUCAAGCUCUGCUUGGUGUUGGGUGUUUGUCCUUGCUCUAGUGGCGGGACUCGCCUCAAAGUAAUUGGCAGCCAGUGUUUUGGUUUUGAAGCGCAGCACAAGUCGCGAUUCAAGUCUAUACGCUAGUUUCCACAAGUCUUUUAUCACUUUUGACCUCGGAUCAGGUAGGGAUACCCGCUGAACUUAAGCAUAUCAAUAA